UUACGGCCAUAUCACGUUGAAAUAAUGGUUCCCUUACAAUUACCAAAGUUAAGCAACGUCGAGCCUGGUUAAUACCUAAAUGGGUGACCACUUAGGAAUAUCAGGUGCUGUAAG